UUUAACUGAGCGUUCAGUUACUUGACGUAGACCCGAAACCGGGCGACCUACCCAUGAGCAGGAUGAAGCGAAAGUAAAAUUUCGUGGAGGUCCGAACCCACGAGCGUUGAAAAGCUCGGGGAUGACUUGUGGGUAGCGGUGAAAUUCCAAUCGAGCCCGGAGAUAGCUGGUUCUCCCCGAAAUAGCUUUAGGGCUAGCCUCAAGGUGAGAGAUACGGAGGUAGAGCACUGAAUGUCCUAGGGGGUAUUGCACCUACCGAAGACUAUCAAACUCCGAAUGCCGUCAUCUUAUACUUGGGAGUCAGACUGUGGGUGAUAAGAUUCAUAGUCGAAAGGGCAACAGCCCAGAUCGUCAGCUAAGGUCCCUAAAUGUAAGUUAAGUGGUAAAGGAUGUGGGAUUGCACAGACAACCAGGAUGUUGGCUUAGAAGCAGCCACUCAUUCAAAGAGUGCGUAAUAGCUCACUGGUCGAGUGAUCCUGCGCCGAAGAUUUCCGGGGCUAAAACUUACUACCGAAGCUACGGCAUCAGUAAUGAUGGGUAGGGGAGCUUCCCAUACGGGUUGAAGCAUGACCGUAAGGACAUGUGGACAGUAUGGGAGUGAGAAUGUUGGCAUGAGUAGCGAGAUGUGGGUGAGAAUCCCACAGGCCGUAAACCCAAGGUUUCCAGGGGAAGGUUCGUCCGCCCUGGGUUAGUCGGGACCUAAGCUGAGGCCGAAAGGCGUAGGUGAUGGACAACAGGUUGAUAUUCCUGUACUACCGAUAACCGUUUGAGAGAAGGGAUGACACAGUAGGAUAAGCUAAGCACACUGUUGGUUAUGUGUGCCCAAGCAUUGAGGCAGUCAAAGUAGGCAAAUCCGCUUUGAUAAUGCUGGGAUGUGAUGGGGAGCGAAAUUUAGUAGCGAAGUAGCUGAUUUCACACUGUCAAGAAAAGUCUCUAUCGAGGUUAAAGGUACCCGUACCGCAAACCGACACAGGUGGGUGAGGAGAGUAUCCUAAGGCCAGCGAGAGAACUGUUGUUAAGGAACUCGGCAAAAUGACCCCGUAACUUAGGGAUAAGGGGUGCCACCAUCAGGUGGCCGCAGAGAAUAGGCCCAAGCGACUGUUUACCAAAAACAUAGGUUUCUGCUAAGUCGCAAGACGAUGUAUAGGAGCUGACGCCUGCCCGGUGCUGGAAGGUUAAGGGGAUCUGUUAGAGCAAUCGAAGCAGUGAACUUAAGCCCCAGUAAACGGCGGCCGUAACUAUAACGGUCCUAAGGUAGCGAAAUUCCUUGUCGGGUAAGUUCCGACCCGCACGAAAGGCGUAACGAUUUGGGCACUGUCUCAACAACAGACUCGGUGAAAUUGUAAUUCCGGUGAAGAUGCCGGAUACCUGCGACAGGACGGAAAGACCCCAUGGAGCUUUACUGUAGCUUGACAUUGGGUCUUGGUACUACAUGUACAGGAUAGGUGGGAGGCUUUGAAACCAGGACGCCAGUUUUGGCGGAGCCAUCCUUGGGAUACCACCCUUGUAGUACUGGGACUCUAACCAUAGGCCAUGAAUCUGGUCUUGGGACACUGUCAGGUGGGCAGUUUGACUGGGGCGGUCGCCUCCCAAAAGGUAACGGAGGCGCUCAAAGGUUCUCUCAGUACGGUCGGAAAUCGUACGUAGAGUGUAAAGGCAAAAGAGAGCUUGAUUGCAAGACAUACAGGUCGAGCAAGGAUGAAAAUCGGACUUAGUGAUCCGGUGGUUCUGCGUGGAAGGGCCAUCGCUCAACGGAUAAAAGCUACCCUGGGGAUAACAGGCUUAUCUCCCCCAAGAGUCCACAUCGACGGGGAGGUUUGGCACCUCGAUGUCGGCUCAUCACAUCCUGGGGCUGUAGUAGGUCCCAAGGGUUGGGCUGUUCGCCCAUUAAAGUGGUACGCGAGCUGGGUUCAGAACGUCGUGAGACAGUUCGGUCCCUAUCCGUCGCAGGCGUAGGAAAUUUGAGAAGACCUGUCCUUAGUACGAGAGGACCGGGAUGGACGU
rnacentral:rRNA from 1 species